GCCAGGCGCAGUGGCACGUGCCUGUAGUCCCCGCUACGUGGGAGGCUGAGGCGGGAGGAUUGCUUGAGCCCAGGAGUUCAAGACUGCAGUGAGCCAUGAUUGUGCCACUGCACUUCAGCCUGGGUGAGAGAGCGAGACCCUGUCUCAA
rnacentral:SRP_RNA from 2 species